UCAGAUUAUAUAUAUAUAUAUAUAUGUGUGUGUGUGUGAGAGAGAGAGAUAUGGUGGAGACGGAUGGAGCAUUGGACGCCGCCGCCAAGGCCCCACGCUCUCCCCUGGGAAUUUUCACCGACGAAGAUUGCAAGCGACAAGUCUGACGAAAGCACUGGUCUCCUGUGAACAACGACUUGACGACAGUUCUUGGGGUGGUUUCCAGGGAAAAAACUGAGAAGUCGGCUUCUCCCCACCCUCCACUGCAGCCUCCUGCCUCAUUUAAGCAAAAUUUCAAAAAUUAGCUGCGGCCAGAUCUACUGUUGCUUUGAAUUGAAUCGGUCAAAUGCAUAGUUCGAAGAUUUGGCUUAAUUUAUCGAUCUGAAUAAUUGAAGUGGCUCCCCUACAUUUAUUUAUUUAUUUUAGAUUACUUGUAUUAUUUGAGGACGUUUUUGAAACUUUAUUGUAAUAUGAUUUAUUGGUUUUCAAAUGUUCUACAUGUUGUACAAAGAAUAGAAAGUACUAAUACGUUAUUUUGAUCUGAAGUUAGUGUUAA